UCUUAUCGAUGUUAAUGAUAAUCUUGUGUUAUAUCAUGUGUUGUUUCUCUGUCUGCUAAAUUCAGCUACAUCUAUUGUGGUUUGGAAUUUAUAGAUACUAAAGAUGUUAGUUUAUCCUGGCAACUGUAUAUGUUGGAGUUUAGAUCAACAAAGUGCUGAGAAAGUGUUUGUGGGUUCGAUUCAAUAAAGAAGAUUUAGAAGGACCAAGUUGGUGAUAUAGGAGGACUGUUACUACUUUAGGCAAAGGAAAGAAGUGCAUGAUCUAUUGAAGUGUGUUUCUAAUAAGAAGAAAAGUAUUAGUGUGUGAUUGAUGCAUGCAUGAUCAGAUGGAGGGUUGGAGAUCAGGUAUUAGUUCAUAACAGGGGGACUUGUUGUAGCUUAGUUUUCAAAGCUGCUACUAGGGAGCUCCAGUGGGAUUUUGAGCUGGGGUUUGAUGGGGUAUUUGAAGACGGGGAUCUUUUUCUAGCUGUUUUAGGUCAGUACAGUAGAUUGGUGAAUGUUUCUUAGACCGAGGUUGGUCGAAGGUGUGUCAAUAGGUGCAAGGGAGGAUGGUGCUGGCUCUUGGAAAAGCACUAGUAGUGAUUGGAAAGUCUCUCAUCUGAGGUAGGUGAUGGGUGAAGGAACUUGUUGCGACAAGUGUUUGAUGUGGUGAAGAAGAAAAGGGAACUGAUAUUUAGUUAUAUUGAGGGCGGAGGGAGGAUGGCAUCAUGGGAUUUGACAUUCAAAGGGUUUCAAAUAAUUGUUGAACGAAAUAGACUGAAAUCUAAUGAAGCUAAUGGAUUUCUUUCAGCCAAUAUGAAGUGUGUUGAUAAUAGGUAUUGAAAAGUUCUAGGUGGAUAUCGGCGCAUCCAAGACCCAACCAUUUCUCACUUCUGCAUAUUUAAGGAUGCUGAAAACAAUGGCCAUUAGACCUCAUUUCUUAGUUUUUCUCUUAUUGUAAUCGGUGUUGAAUGAAGUUUUCUCAAAAACUUGGUUUCCUUCUUGUUUUCCAUUAACCAAUUUCCACCUGAUCUGGCUUAAGCAGUUGUUUCUAAUGAGUUCUCAAUGUUUAGCAGAAAUUAUGCUUGCUUGUUGGAUAUUAUACAUAAAAACUCAUACUUUGUCCCGCCAUCAUUAUUUGCAAGCUUAUAAACAAUUUCAUAUAAUUUGAAGCGAAUUCUAGUGAAAGCAAAUUCAAGUGAAAGCAAAUUCCAUGUUCUCACAAUUUGGCUCAUACCUGCAUUUCUCAGGAGAGAGUAUUUCAGCUGACACAUUUUUCAGUCUGGGGACUCUAUUUCUGAAUACUUGCUAUCCCAUCGCUGACUGCUAUGUAUUGUUUGCAUAUUUUUUUUAUUGAUUGCAGCCACCGGAUUCAUCCAGGAGAAGCCACCAUUUCCAACCAGUGCUUUCGUGAAUGGAAUCAGAUAUGGUAAUGCAUCAUGGAGGAUGUCAUUGCAGGAGAGUAAGGUGGCGAAUCCAAGCACCAAGCAGUGUUGUAGCUUUGAACUGCAACUGUUCUGUUUGUUCCAUGAGGGCUGGCACUCAGUUCAUUGUCCCUUCUGAAAAGUUUGAGCUUCUAGGAGAUUCCAAAGAAUGUCUUACAACCUACACUUUUGGCACGCAUACAGCAAAGCACACAUUCUGUAAGUUCUGUGGCAUAACUUCGUUUUACGUUCCACGAGCAGAUCCAGACGGGUUUUCGAUUACUGUCAGUUGUGUUGACCCUGGGACUCUCACUCAUGUUGAGAUUAAGCACUUUGAUGGACAGAAUUGGGAAAGGUCAUACAAUCAGGCAUUUGCUUCAUGCUCCCAAGGUGCUGGCUGCUGAAGUGUCGUUCUUUCUACCACCACUCUCCUCGCCUUCCCUCCCUAAAGUAGUACAAUAUUAUGGAAAAACCUUUGUGAUAUCGCUCUUUGGAACAUUCUCAGAGUUGGAAAAUAAAAUUAGCUAUGUUAGCUAAUUGAUUGGUUAUACGUGUAGCUAAUUGAUUGGUUACUUGUGCUAUUGACUGUUCAUGUUUUAAUAAAGACUUUGUUCAUCCUUAAUGAGGUACAAGCCUGAGCACUUACAAAUUUCAGAUUUGAAGGAAGCUCCCCGAGUGAUUGAAGCCUCUUGCAAUCAUCCAAAUAUAGAUAUUCAAGAUUGGAAGGUUCGUGGAUACUUGCAGGUAGACUAGUAAAGUUGUUGCCACUCACGUUUUUUAUUAAUUUAGUCAAAGCAAUCUUCUAGUUUUGAAAGUAUAAUAAUUUUUGUUUUUAAAUAUUUUUUAAAAUAUAUUUAAUGUAAAAAAAAACAUCAAUUAAUAUUUUUUUUUAGUUUCUUAUCAUAUUUUUAAUUUUUUGAUAUUAAAAAUAAUUUUUUUAAUAAAUUUACAAUAAAAUAUAUUUUUAAAAAAUAAAAGAAGAGACAAAAAUAUCCAUCCACCAUAAUUAAAGGUGAUUUGACAUCCUCCAGACAUUACAUAUUAUAUCAUAUCAUAUCAUACAAAGAUAUUUAUCCUGUAAUUUAAAAUAAUAAAAGAGUUGAUGUAAAGUUAGCAUGUCACCUUUUGACGAAACUUCCCUCACAUUAGCUAGAAAGGUGCUACCCUCAAAUCGGUGUGACGUUCGAUUGUAGUAAGCUCGUGCAAGAGUUGUCUUUUCUAUUCCUCCCAUCCCACAAAUCCCUAUGAUGCGAACACCAUUAGACCCUAGAUAGUGCAGGGCUCAGUAUACUCAGUAUGCUUUGCACAAUAUCUUGUAUAAAGUUUGAUUCAUGCCUAUAAACUGGAAGGAUGAAUAAGAAAGUUUCGAGUCGUAAUACAUUUUGAAGGAAAAAAAUAAAUCAGUGUUCGUCUACAUAUUACAAUUAAAAAAAAAUGGCAUAUGACAUCAUGUGUCAUACUUGGAAGAAGGGGAGGUCAUGCUAAUGCAGAAAAUAUAAGCGUGCAUCUCUUAGUGCAGAGAUUUAUACAGACAUGUACUAUUUAAAGGAUAGACAGAAGGGCUUAAACUUAUAAAAUUCUGGAAAUUUUUGCAGUAACUGAUAUCUGUCAAACUUUGAGUCUUUCCCAACUGAAAUUGUAGUUCUGAUAUUUAAGAUUGUUUGAAAAUGAUUUGGCUUUUAAGCAAACCCAGUGAAUUUUGUUACUGUUUUGUUUUCAGACAGAUGGGUAAAGAUAGAUAGAUAAACUUAAAGAGAAAGAGUUGCAUUUAACAUUUUACGGCUUGUUUUUCAAAGUCAAUGACUGCUAGGCUGCUGACCAUGUUGAAAAUGUUAUACUUUUAAAAAAUAAAAUGAAAAUUGUUUUUUAAAGUAUUUUUUAUUUUAAAAUAUAUUAAAAUAUUUUUUUAUAUUUUUAAAAUUUUAAUUUUGAUAUCAGUAUUAUAAAAUAAACCAUUUAUAAUAAAAAUAAAAUUUAAAAUUUUAAAAAAAAAACGUUAUAAUCGCAAAAACAAGCAAUCAUAUAGAUUAUAUUUUUUAAGAGAUUUUAAAAAUAAAUGAAACCAGAAAAAAAAUUAAGCAUGUAUAUCUUUGCCUUAAUUUUCCUUUUCUAAAUAUCCUUUAGUGACAAAAUUUACCAUGUAAAAAGUCCUCCAACUUUUAUCCUUUUUUUUUCUUUCUUUGUGCCCAUGCUUAUUUCAUUUGAGUGAUUUUUAGAAUGUUGUUUUGAUAGAAAAACAUCUCAAAAUAAAAUUUAAUUGAUAUCUUUUCAACUCAAACAUGUAUUUGUUAUAAGUGAAAAUGGUGACAAAUUCAAGGAAAGUGUAAUGCUUCUUUACCAUCAAAACUCAAAGCCAUGCUUUAAGUUCAGAACUUCAUCAAAUGCCCUAAUUUAAAAAUAUUGGCUUUCAAUGUUACAUGACUGAAGAUGAAAGUUUUUAGAAGUUCACAUUACUUGCAAGUCUAACUAGGUUGGUGCCUUUCAGACCUUUUAAAUAGAGAAAAAAUAAAGAGGGAAUAAAAAAAAUGUCACGACUUGAAUCUCGGAUUCAUGACUAGCAACGCAGUGUCGAAAAAAUAUCAUACCUACACUAAGCCUCAGAACAAACAUAUCAAAAGAACAAAUUAUUUGAAAAUACACAGCUUUUCAUAAACCUCAAAAAAUAUUAUAUUAUAUUACUUGCAGGUCUAACCAGGUGCCUCUCAGACCUUUUAAAUAGAGAAAAAAAAGAGGUGAUAAAAAAAAAAUGACGAUCAUACAUACCUUUUGUUGAAAUAAUUAAGAUCAAACAUAAAAAGGGAAACUAGAAUUCUGAAUAAUCUAAAACAACUAAUAAAAUUGGUAAUAAUUUACUAAAUAACCCUUAAUUAUUCAUCAAACUAAUCUGUAAAAGCUAAUAUUACAGCUAGGGAUUAAUCUGGAAUUUAUCAUAUUUUUAGGGCCAAAUUAUAAAUUUUUUUCAAAUUGGAGGACCAAAUUGAAAGUGUUAAAUUUUCUUAUCUAUACAGUAAUUCUGCCCAUAAUUCAUAUGUUAUUCUGGUCAGAAUCUCGGAAUAUGCUCUAGGGAUAUAUUUGUAAUGUAUGAUCAUCAAUAAAAGAGAUAAUAUCGAGACCCACCUUUUGUAGCAACAAGAAAAGAUCCCCAUACAUCAGAAUGAAUCAAAUCAAAUGGUGAAGAAGAAACAGAAAUACUUCGAUUAAAAGGUAAGGCGGAAAUUUUUGACAAUUUACAUCCACUACAAUCAGAAAUGUCACAAGUUUUUAAAUUUUCUAAAGCUCCUGUGGAUGCCAAAAAUCUCAAACGAGAAGAUGAAACUAGACCUACACGGGAAUGCCAUAAAUAAAAACUAGAAGAUGAAAGACUCAAAUGAAAGGAAGACAAAUCAACGAUAGUAGCAGCAGUGGCAACAACAGCAACUGACACUUUUAACUCAUCCAAAAUAUAUAGUCCAUUCUCUCUACGACCUGUCCCAAUCAGCUUCUGAGACUACAGAUCCUGUAUACAACAAAACAACCAACCAGAAUAACAUAUUGAUCACAGACCACGCAAGAUUCAAUUUGAGUUUUGGAAUAAGAUAAACAUUAGGGAGAGACAAGUGAGGUGUGACAACAGAACCAACACCUGCUAAGGGCAUAUGAGUGCCAUCAACAGUCAUAACAGGAAUGGAGGACAAAGGGGACACAGAGGUAAAAGAUGAGGAAUUUGAAGACAUAUGAUGAGAAUCACCAGAAUCCAAGACCCAUUCAGAGUGUGACAUACCUGAGGAACUAUGAGGCAACUCACCUAUGGAAGAAGAAGCGGACAUUGCUUGUGGCUGCAAGGAGAGAAACUUUUUAAAUUGCUCAGCCAAAAUAUUAAGAUCGGUAAUAGAGCUUGAGGAAGCUACUGCUGCAAUAUUGUGGUAUGGUGGUUUAUAACCCUGAGGUGGUUUAUGAGCAUUAGAUUAUGAUUGAUUGCCAGACUUCCAAGCUUGAUUCUGCUUUCUCAACUUACGACACUGAGCCUUCCAAUGAACUUUCUGCUUACAGAAACUGCACUCAUCGAAGCCAACCCUUGUGUAAGGCUUAUUUUGAUGAUUAGAGAAUGACUUAGAAGGCACUGCUAAUACUGAAGGAUUUGAAGCAGAAAGAAUUCUCUUUUUAGAAUAAGACUGAAGACGUAUUUCUUCAGCCAAUAACUCACUAACAACAGAGUCAACAAAAGGCAGUGAAGAACGAUGCAGAAUUGAACCUCUAAGUCCUUUGAAAUCACGACGAAGUGCUGUUAAAAAUUGUACCAAUCGUUGUUGCUCUCUACACUCAAUAUAGGCAUCACAUGCCUUUAAUUAUGUCGAUUCUAUAAGAGCUAAUUGAUCCCAAAAAUUUGUCAUAUCAGAAUAAAACUCUUGAAUACUCAUAUUCUUCUGAUGAAAAGCUCGUAUGUCAUUCUCUAAUUAAUACUGUUUUGAAAAAUUUGAUUGUGUGAAUAACAUUUGUAGAUGAUUCCAAACCUCUUUUGUUGUCUUAUACUUCGCCAACUGCAUACCUAUUGAAUGCUCAACAUAAUUGUUGAUCCAAGUAAUAAUCUUUGCAUUAUUUGCUUCCCAUGUAUCUAUCAAAACAGCAUCCCCCUCCUCAAUAUUCUUAGGUAUCAUAUAAGUUCUACUAACAUACCUCCACAUCUUCUUACCCUUAAGGAAAUUUCGCAUUACAUAACUCCAAUACGAAUAGUUCUUCCCAUCCAACCUCACACUCACAGACUGAAGCGAAUCAUCUCUUUUAGUAGCCAUAAUCAACAGUCACAAAAAACCAAAAUGCAAGAGCAGCGAAAAAAAAAAAUACUAAAUUGCAGAAACUGAACUGAGAUUAUAAAAACUAAACAAAUAUCUUCUCGAAAUUAUACGAUUACUCCAAAACAAAAAAUAAAUUUGUAAAAAACUGAACGCAAAUACCAAAUUAUAGAAGCUGAAGGGAAGAUGAAAUACCAAAAUAAUUACAGAAACUGUAAAAAUACCAAAUUUUACAGAAGUGAAAGACAAAAUAUCACUCCAAAAACUUUUGUACCUGCAAUAUCUCUACAUGUCAAAGAACCUUCAAAUAUGAUCUAAGUCUUUGGUCAUGGGACUCAUGGGAAGGACUGAACUAUCAUGCCAUAAGAUGUCAAGUAAUACUUAACAAAAAAGCAUAUUGGGAAUAUUUGUCACCCCGUUAAUUUUACUCUUCUCAUAUUUACUAAUUUAAACAUCAAAUAAUCUUCUAUUUUGAUAAAUAACUGGGUUUUUAAGUGAACACUUGUUGAACCAAGGUCAAAACCAAUCAAUAAUCUAGAGAAACAGUUUUGGAAAGCCUAAGUCCCGUUCGAUGAUUUCACGAUUCCAUCAAUCACUUAUCAGCAAUUUUUAAUUAAAUUUAACAAAAUUAAUUAAGGGGAUUUUUGAGAAAAUCUUUGUCGAUAUACAAUCAUCGAUCUUUUGAUCAAAUUUUGAGGUCUACCUAUGAUCAUCAGCAGCUACGACAAAGUGGAAGAUUCGACUUCACCAUUGACAUAUAUAAAGAUUUUUUAUUACUAGAAACCUGGGUUUAAUAUUAUAUAUGUGUGUGUGUGUCAAAUUAAUGAAUGGACAGAUAUGUUUGGUGUUCGAGAUAUAGCAAGACCGUAUACAAAAACUAAUCAUAAAAAACAAAGGCAUCGAUUGACCCCAUGUACAUUUAGAUUAAACUCUCGUCUAGUGCCAUGUAUCAAGCAGAGUACUGUCUUGUUGGUUCUUCAUUAUGAAGAACAAUAAAACAAUCAAAUAUUAUAGAUUAAUCCAUAGAUAUCAUAUGGAAACAUGCAUAAAUUACAUGCCCAUGUAUAUAGGUUAGACAGAACACAAAACAUUAAUUCUAAACUCAUGAGUAAGCAUGUCUUGUCAUCACUAGGCUAUGAUAAUAUAAAAUUUAAGGUUUGAUCUACCCAUAGUAGAUGACUAAUUAAGUGCUUAGUACUGACACCUCCUAUCUAGAAAUGUUAUUGGUCGAGCUAAUUUUUUGUACCAGAGAAGCUCAAGUCAAUAAAUCUCUCAACUACCGAUAUAGUUGCCAUAAAUAUUUAGGGAAUCAUCUCAUGAGUUAAUGCUUCAACUCAUAUUUGUUAAACUCAAUUAACGGGUUAAUUUAAAAAAUUUAUAAUUCAGAAUUUGAUAUGGAUUAUGUUUUAAAUUAAUAAAAAAAAUGAUAAUUUGUGAAACACAGUUCACAUAUCGAGUAUUGGAUCAACUUGACAAUUACCUUUUAUGGAAGAGCCUAGGCAUAUAUGGCCAUGGGUUGUAAGACUCGCCACCACAUUUUUACAAGUGUUUUAGGCCCAUUAUUGGUCAUUCGGCUAAGAAACACACGUGAAAUUCUAUAGAAUGUGCCCAAAAAUUUGCCUCCAAUAUAUACACACGUUCUCAGACAGCUGAAAGCAGCAUUUGGUGCCAGCACGAGGCUUGAGCAACAGUCCUACAGCCAGCAAAAUUGACUUUUUUUUUCUUCAGGUAAAUCCCUUUGCUUUUCUUCUUAUCGAUGUUAAUGAUAAUCUUGUGUUAUAUCAUAUGUUGUUUCUCUGUCUGCUAAAUUCAGUUACAUGUAUUGUGGUUUGGAAUUUAUAUAUACUAAAGAUGUUAGUUUAUCCUGGCAACUAUAUAUGUUGGAGUUUAGAUCAACAACGUACUGAGAAAGUGUUUGUGGGUUCGAUUCAAUAAAGAAGAUUUAGAAGGACCAAGUUGGUGAUGUAUGAGGACUGUUACUGCUUUAGGCAAUGGAAAGAAAUGCAUGAUCUAUUGAAGUGUGUUUCUAAUAAGAAGAAAAUUAUUAGUGUUUGAUUGAUGCAUGCAUGAUCAGAUGGAGGGUUGGAGAUCAGGUAUUAUUUCAUAACAGGGGGACUUGUUGUAGCUUCGUUUUCAAAGCUGCUACUAGGGAGCUCCAGUGGGAUUUUGAGCUGGGGUUUGAUGGGGUAUUUGAAGACGGGGAUCUUUUUUCUAGCUGUUUUAGGUCAGUACAGUUGAUUGGUGAAUAUUUCUUAGACCGAGGUUGGUCGAAAGGAGUGUCAAUAGGUGCAAGGGAGGAUGAAGCUGGCUCUUGGAAAAGCACCAGUAGUGAUUGGAAAGUCUCUCAUCUGAGGUAGGUGAUGGGUGAAGGAACUUGUUGCGACAAGUGUUUGAUGUGGUGAAGAAGAAAAGGGAUUCAUGUUUAGUUAUAUUGAGGGCGAAGAGUGGAUGGCAUCAUGGGAUUUGACAUUCAAAGGAUUUCUUUCAGCCAAUAUGAAGUGUGUUGAUAAUAAGUAUUGAAAAGUUCUAGGUGGAUUUCGGCGUAUCUAAGACCCAAGCAUUUCUCACUUCUGAAUAUUUAAGGAUGCUGAAAACAACAAUGGCAAUUAGACCUGAUUUCUCUUUCCAUCUUCCCAUUUUCCUAGUUUUUCUCUUAUUGUAAUCGGUGUUCAAUGAAGUUUUCUAAAAACUUGGUUUCCUUCUUGUUUCCAUUAACCAAUUUCCACCUGAUCUGGCUUAAGCAGUUGUUUCUAAUGAGUUCUCAAUGUUUAGCAGAAAUUAUGCUUGCUUGUUGGAUAUUAUACAUAAAAACUCAAACUUUGUCCCGCCAUCAUUAUUUGCAAGC
rnacentral:lncRNA from 1 species